AACGAACGCUGGCGGCAGGCCUAAUACAUGCAAGUCGAACGCCGUAGCAAUACGGAGUGGCAGACGGGUGAGUAACGCGUGGGAACCUUCCUAAUGGUACGGAAUAGCCCGGGGAAACCCGGAGUAAUACCGUAUAAGCCCGUAAGGGGAAAGAUUUAUCGCCAUUAGAUGGGCCCGCGUCGGAUUAGCUAGUUGGUAGGGUAACGGCCUACCAAGGCUACGAUCCGUAGCUGGUCUGAGAGGAUGAUCAGCCACACUGGGACUGAGACACGGCCCAGACUCCUACGGGAGGCAGCAGUAGGGAAUAUUGGACAAUGGGCGAAAGCCUGAUCCAGCCAUGCCGCGUGAGUGAUGAAGGCCU
rnacentral:rRNA from 1 species